rnacentral:rRNA from 1 species
GUGUCAGCCGCCGCGGUAAGACAGAGGGUGCAAACGUUGUUCGGAAUUACUGGGCGUAAAGCGCGUGUAGGCGGCUUUGUAAGUCGGAUGUGAAAUCCCGCGGCUCAACCGUGGAAGUGCACCCGAAACUGCAAGGCUAGAGUAUCGGAGAGGAAGGUGGAAUGCUUGGUGUAGAGGUGAAAUUCGUAGAUAUCAAGCGGAACACCGGUGGCGAAGGCGGCCUUCUGGACGAUUACUGACGCUGAGACGCGAAAGCGUGGGUAGCAAACAGGAUUAGAAACCCCGGUAGUCC